GAUGAACGCUGACGGAAUGCUUAACACAUGCAAGUCGAUGGGGAAGUGGUGCUUGCACCAUGGUAACCAUGGCGGACGGGUGAGUAACGCGUAAGGAACUUGCCUGCGGGACUGGGAUAACAGCAGGAAACUGCUGAUAAUACCGGAUAAGGUCAUUAAGCUGCAUAGCUUAGUGAUGAAAGGAGACGCCUGCGGAGAGCCUUGCGUCCUAUUAGCUAGUUGGAGGGGUAACGGCCCACCAAGGCGAAGAUAGGUAGCCGGCCUGAGAGGGUGGACGGCCACAAGGGGACUGAGAUACGGCCCUUACUCCUACGGGAGGCAGCAGUGGGGAAUAUUGGACAAUGGGGGCAACCCUGACCCAGCAAUUCUGUGUGCACGAAGACGGUUUUCGGAUUGUAAAGUGCUUUCAGCAGGGAAGAAGGAAGUGACGGUACCUGCAGAAGAAGCGACGGCUAAAUACGUG
rnacentral:rRNA from 1 species